CCUCUGGGUUGUAAACUUCUUUUAUCUGGGACGAAAAAAGGGCUUUAUAGCUCACUUGACGGUACCAGGGGAAUAAGCACCGGCUAACUCCGUGCCAGCAGCCGCGGUAAUACGGAGGGUGCAAGCGUUAUCCGGAUUUACUGGGUUUAAAGGGUGCGUAGGUGGGUAAGUAAGUCAGUGGUGAAAUCUUCAGGCUUAACCUGGAAACUGCCAUUGAUACUAUUUAUCUUGAAUACUCUGGAGGUAAGCGGAAUAUGUCAUGUAGCGGUGAAAUGCUUAGAUAUGACAUAGAACACCAAUUGCGAAGGCAGCUUACUACAUAGUUAUUGACACUGAGGCACGAAAGCGUGGGGAUCAAACAGGAUUAGAUACCCUGGUAGUCCACGCCCUAAACGAUGGAUACUCGACAUUAGCGAUACACAGUUAGUGUCUGAGCGAAAGCAUUAAGUAUCCCACCUGGGAAGUACGAUCGCAAGAUUGAAACUCAAA
rnacentral:rRNA from 1 species